CUUGGUCAUUUAGAGGAAGUAAAAGUCGUAACAAGGUUUCCGUAGGUGAACCUGCGGAAGGAUCAUUACCGAACCGUCGACACGAGUUGUUGCUGGUCCUCAAAUGGGGGCAUGUGCACACUCUGUUUACUCAUCCACUCACACCUGUGCACCCACUGUAGUUCUGUGGCUUGGGGGGCUCUGUCCUCUUUGCUGUGGUUCUAUGUCUUUACACACACACUGUAAUAAAGUUUCAUGGAAUACAUGACGCGUCUAACGCAAUACAAUACAACUUUCAGCAACGGAUCUCUUGGCUCUCGCAUCGAUGAAGAACGCAGCGAAAUGCGAUAAGUAAUGUGAAUUGCAGAAUUCAGUGAAUCAUCGAAUCUUUGAACGCACCUUGCGCCCUCUGGCUAUUCCAGAGGGCAUGCCUGUUUGAGUAUCAUGAACACCUCAACUCUCAUGGUUUUGCCGUGAUGAGCUUGGACUUUGGGGGUCUUGCUGGCCUGUGGUCAACUCCUCUCAAAUGAAUCAGCUUGCCAGUGUCUGGUGGCAUCACAGGUGUGAUAACUAUCUACGCUUGUGGUUUUCCACCAGGUAACCUUCAGUGAUGGAGGUUCGCUGGAGCUCAUAAAUGUCCCUCCUCAGCGAGGACAGCUUCUUGAAUGUUUGAUCUCAAAUCAGGUAGGGCUACCCGCUGAACUUAAGCAUAUCAAUAAGCGGAGGA
rnacentral:rRNA from 1 species